ACCUUCAUUGAUUCAUCAUUCUUCAUUGAUAUAUUAUCAAAUUCUCUCCAUAAUGAUUGAAGUUUGAUAGAGAUUACCUUAGAGGAGCCUUGAAAUUCCUUUUGAAGAAUAUCCCAAGCCUGUUUUGAACUUGUGGCUGCCAUAGUACGAGGGAAGAUAGUUUUACUUACCCCUUGUUGAAUAAAGAGAAGUGCCUUUGCAUCCUUCUUCUUGUUUUCCUUGAACUCCUUUUGCUUGGACGCCG
rnacentral:lncRNA from 1 species